AUGCAUGGCCACGCUCUGGCGCAGAGAAGCCAAACAAACGCCUCCUUUUUUUUUGGGGGGGGGGGUUUUUUGUGUCAUAACCUCAGAGUUAUUCCAAGGGAGGCAGCACAUCCGUCCCAGCCCAUGGGGACACGUGCACUGCUGGUGCUGCCCACAAAAGUGGGCUUGUGCUUCCUUCCCCCUCUGGAGCUCUGGACACUGCUCCACUGUCUCCUGUGGUGCAGGCAGCGUUCCCCAUUAAUUACAUCCCACAGACCCUCAUUUCCUGGGAAUGAAGUUCUAAGAAGGAAACGAGGAAUAUUUAGCACUGCCAGCGAGGUGGGGAGUUCGGCACAGGGAACAGCGCUGGGGUGUUCCAUCCUUUGUUCUGAGCCAUUAAAUCAGAACAGCUCUGCUGGGGACAACUUCUUGUGGGGUGGAGGGGACAGUGGGACCGAAGAGGGGACAGUGGAGACUGUACCCACUGCCAGGCUUCAGCCAGCCCUGUGCCAGGGCUCCUGGAGGGUCACGCUGUCCCAUGGGGCUGCUGGGAGGGUGAGCAGCUCUUCAGAGAGGCUGGAGCCAAAAACCCACCAAGCACAGCUGGCUCAGGCUGCCAGCACUGUCCCCUGCUUUGGGGACACCCGUGGAGCCCCGUGGCAGGGGUGGCACCUCCGUGUUGUCCUGCUCCCUGCUGGGCCGUGUCAGAGGCCGGGUGACACGGUGGAGGUGUCACUCAGGGUGGGUGGCACAGCCCUGUGCCAGCUCUGCCUCCUGCCAUGGGGGUCACUGCAAGGGAGGACAGUGUCACCCUUGCCACUCGCCCAGGGCCGGCCAGGGACUCGUGGCAGGGCUGGAAGGGAACUCUUUGGAAGUCUCCCCCCCAAAGCCUCCUGUGCCCGCUGGGUGCUGCCCCGGGGUGCCAAACCCUUCCUCCCAGAUCUCCCAGGAGCAGCAGUGCCAGCUUUUCCCAGCUGUGUCCUGCGCUGUCCCCGCCGAGCCCUGCCACUGCUGCGGAUCCCUCGCUCCCAGCCCCCCGGAGGGACAGGAGAGAGCUCUGGAGCGGGGACAUGA
rnacentral:lncRNA from 1 species